rnacentral:rRNA from 1 species
GAGGGAUCAUUGAAAGCUGGGGACCUAGAUUUCAAGAAGGAGGAGAGUAGAAUUACUACGUAGCAGCUGAUGAAUUUACGGAGAAGAUGUGGAGGAACAACAGUAGGCGAAGGCGACUCUUCUGGUCUGUAGUUGUCACUGAGGAGCGCAAGCGUGAGGAGGAGCCAGGAUUAGAUACCCUGGUAGUAGUCCGCCGUAAACGAGGAAGAGUAAAAGUAGAGGGUUUCUCCUCUUUAGAGCUCCACAUCUCCCGCUUACAACUCUCCUUCGGGGGAGAGCCGUCGCGAUUCAGAAUCUAAGAAGAAUUGGCGGGGGGGCCCACAAGCGGUGGAUCAUUUGGUGUAAUUGGAAGCCACGUGGAGAUCAUCCCGAGGUCUGGACAUCCUUUGACAAUCCUAGAGAUAGGACGUCCCCUUCGGGGGCAGAGUGACAGGUGGGGCAUGGUUGUCGUCAGCUCGUGUCAUGAGAUGUUGGGGAAAGUCCUCCUCCGACCGCAGGCCUUGAUCUUACAGGCCAGCAUUCAUUGCGGCAGAUUAAGGUGACUGCGGUGACAAGGAGGAGGAAGGUGGGGAAACGUCAAAUCAUCAUGCCCCUUAUGACCUGGGUACACACGUUUACAAUGGACAGAACAAAGGGCACAAAUACGCGAGGUUAAGCCAAUCCCACAAAUCUGUUAUCAGUUCGGAUCGCAGUCUUCAAA